rnacentral:rRNA from 1 species
UAAGGAAUAUUGGACAAUGGGCGAGAGCCUGAUCCAGCCAUGCCGCGUGCAGGAAGAAGGCCCUAUGGGUCGUAAACUGCUUUUGAACCAGAGAAAACCCGAGUACGUGUACUCGGCUGAUAGUAUGGUUAGAAUAAGCAUCGGCUAACUUCGUGCCAGCAGCCGCGGUAAGACGAAGGAUGCAAGCGUUAUCCGGAUUCAUUGGGUUUAAAGGGAGCGUAGGCGGACUUGUAAGUCAGUGGUGAAAUCU